rnacentral:ncRNA from 1 species
GCGUCGCGGCACUCCAUUUCUAUGCCGCGGCGUACAGAAAAGAAGGAGGAAAUUCCGCGCGCUGGCGGUGCGUCAGUGUGGAGACCUGGCGUAAUGCCGCGCAUCCCUUUGCGGAUGGCGGCGAGGUGUGUCAUUGCGGAGGCAGGCACACUACAGCGGUAAACAUGU